rnacentral:lncRNA from 1 species
ACAUAUAGUUGUUUAAAACAUACCUAAGCUCAAUACAAUUUCUCCAUCAAUAAUUUGAAGAGGCAAGAGGCACCAUGUGAUCGGCCAACAAUUUGACAAAAAACUUGUCCCAACCUGGAAAUCAACAGUAACAAUAGAAACGAAGACCUUAAAUUUCUUGUCCUAGCGAUUGGAAGAUGAGGAUAAAAUAUUGAAAACAAACUCACCUUAAACUUCUUGUCCCAGCAAUUGCAAGAUGAGAAUAAAAUGUUGAACACAAACUCUAUAAAUUUGGACCAAACGUUUUCGUCAGUUUCGACAAAACGUUCACAAAUUCUGAAAACGAAGAUUGAAAAUAGAGAGACGGAACCAAAUCCCCAAACAAACCAAAACCCAAUUUAAUCACAACUAUUCUGUGCCCAAAACAACAAAGGAUUCGACAUGCAGACAACAAAGAAAGAAAACCACAUAUUCACGACGGAGAAAACAAAGCUGAAAGGUAAAGUGAAGGAGAUGAAAUCAAACCAUCCAGAUAAACGAUGGCCAGCACCUGGCAUUGAUGGACAAAAAGGACAAAUAACUGAAAAAAAAAAAAAAAAAAAAAAAAAAAACUGUGGAGCUAACAAAGUAAAGCCUGAGGGCAUUUUCGCCCUUUCACUGUUAAUGAACAGUUGAUGUGAAAUAUUCUAACACUCAAAUUGAAACCCUAUUAAGAUAGCUGUAGUAUAUGAAAGUAGGGAUCGUUCUAGACCGGGGAUUAACUAGGGCUGCUAAUCAACACAAAUAUGACUCAAAAACACAAAACUAAACUUAGAAACACAAAACUAAACACUUAGACUUAAAACUGACUCAAACUACUCAAAAUAGCACAAAUAAGUGAAAUUGACUCAAAACUGACUCUAAAGAGUGAAUUGGAUGAAUUUAAGACUAUUAAGACUCAAAACACUAAAUUGGACAGAUUUAAACACUUUUCUAACUAAUUUAACACACUUAAUUAAAAGGGGGAUUGAUUUGGACAAAAUUUAACUAAACUAAACAGACUGCAAAACAAAGUAAAUUAGGUGAUUUGAAUGGUGAAAACUUAGCCAGAGGGUCCUUCUCCAUAAAUGAACCAUAUGCAACAUAAAUCGAUUUCCACUAUUGUUUCUUUAAACCAUGAAUCACAAUGCCCCAAAUUAAUUGUGAACGCACUAAUUAACUUUCAAAUUCCCUAAAUUCAUUGAAUUGAAUGGAUAACGCAUCGCAACCAAAUUAUUUUUCUCAAGUUCCCUAUAUGAACAGCAUGAUAGAGAUACAUUCAAAGAUCAUUAAGCUCCAUGAAAAUCAUAAGCAUUGACAAGGCAAUCAUAACUAUGAGAUGCAUGAUACUCUUGCCAAGAAUUUACUUAACACAAUUGUGACUAGCAAUCUCCACUACUUUUAAUUAUAAGUUCAUAACGAUUAUGUGAAAUUCCUUUAUAAUUUAGCAUCAAAUCCCUGCAUACAAACUAAGUAUGCGUCCUUAAUGAACACACAAGAAUAGGUUCUCAAUAACAUAGAUAAGUAAAUCACAUUCAUGUUUUACGAAACAAUAACUGAAAGUAAUCAAUUCAUAUUAAACAUAUGUCCAUGGAUUCGAAUUCACCUCUAACUAAAAAGGAAUUUAGUUCCUCAUGUUCAUAAUAAUUCAAAAGCAAAGUAAAAUAAACAUGGAAACGAAACAAGGGAAGAAAGAACUCUUAGAACUCCAAUGGUUGCAGAUGGCUU